GACGAACGCUGGCGGCGUGCUUAACACAUGCGAGUCGAACGGAAAGGCCCUGCUUGCAGGGUACUCGAGUGGCGAACGGGUGAGUAACACGUGGGUGAUCUGCCCUGCACUUCGGGAUAAGCCUGGGAAACUGGGUCUAAUACCGGAUAGGAGCCAUUUUUAGUGUGAUGGUUGGAAAGUUUUUUCGGUGUAGGAUGAGCUCGCGGCCUAUCAGCUUGUUGGUGGGGUAAUGGCCUACCAAGGCGGCGACGGGUAGCCGGCCUGAGAGGGUGGACGGCCACAUUGGGACUGAGAUACGGCCCAGACUCCUACGGGAGGCAGCAGUGGGGAAUAUUGCACAAUGGGCGCAAGCCUGAUGCAGCGACGCCGCGUGGGGGAUGACGGCCUUCGGGUUGUAAACUCCUUUCGCUAGGGACGAAGCUUUUUGUGAUGGUACCUAGAUAAGAAGCACCGGCUAACUACGUG
rnacentral:rRNA from 1 species